AUUGAGCGCUGGCGGCAGGCCUAACACAUGCAAGUCGAACGGUAACAGGAAGAAGCUUGCUUCUUUGCUGACGAGUGGCGGACGGGUGAGUAAUGUCCGGGAAACUGCCUGAUGGAGGGGGAUAACUACUGGAAACGGUAGCUAAUACCGCAUAACGUCGCAAGACCAAAGAGGGGGACCUUCGGGCCUCUUGCCAUCGGAUGUGCCCAGAUGGGAUUAGCUAGUAGGUGGGGUAACGGCUCACCUAGGCGACGAUCCCUAGCUGGUCUGAGAGGAUGACCAGCCACACUGGAACUGAGACACGGUCCAGACUCCUACGGGAGGCAGCAGUGGGGAAUAUUGCACAAUGGGCGCAAGCCUGAUGCAGCCAUGCCGCGUGUAUGAAGAAGGCCUUCGGGUUGUAAAGUACUUUCAGCGGGGAGGAAGGGAGUAAAGUUAAUACCUUUGCUCAUUGACGUUACCCGCAGAAGAAGCACCGGCUAACUCCGUG
rnacentral:rRNA from 1 species